AAGACGUGGAGCUUUUUGUUCCAAGCUCCCUCAGCAGUCUGAUGUCUCCUAACUCUGUACUGAUCAGUCUGAUCCUCCAUUGAUCAACUGGAAGUUUCACAGGAAAACUUGGAACAAGAGGAGUUGAUACUUUCUCCAGAUUGGACUCUUACUUAUAUCAUCCCAACCAUGACGUCAAAGAAGACCAAGAGAACACUGAAGAAAGAAAACAGAUUUUAUUAAUGAGGAUUGAGAAUUGGUGUAUUAUCUUUUUUUUUUCUUGUUUCUGUUGAAGGAGAACCAUAAAUGAUCAGCAGCAUGAAUUAACCUUCAACUUAACGGAUCAACUUCAUGCAAUACUUCAAAAGGAAAAUAUGUAUUAUUCAAC